UAGCGAAAUUCCUUGUCGGGUAAGUUCCGACCCGCACGAAAGGCGUAAUGAUUUGAGCGCUGUCUCGACAAUGCAUCCGGUGAAAUUGAAGUACCAGUGAAGAUGCUGGUUACCCGCGCCAGGACGGAAAGACCCCAUGGAGCUUUACUCCAGUUUGAUACUGGGAUUCGGUACUGCACGUACAGGAUAGGUGGGAGACUGAGAACUAUGGACGCCAGUCUGUAGGGAGUCGCUGUUGGGAUACCACCCCUGUAGUACUGGGUUUCUAACCAGUUGCCAUGAACUGGCAAUGGGACAAUGUCAGGCGGGGAGUUUGACUGGGGCGGUCGCCUCCGAAAGGGUAUCGGAGGCGCUCAAAGGUUCCCUCAGAAUGGUCGGAAACCAUUCGAAGAGUGCAAAGGCAGAAGGGAGCUUGACUGCGACACCGACGGGUGGAGCAGGUACGAAAGUAGGACUUAGUGAUCCGGUGGUAUAAAGUGGGAUUGCCAUCGCUCAACGGAUAAAAGCUACCCUGGGGAUAACAGGCUUAUCACUCCCAAGAGUUCACAUCGACGGAGUGGUUUGGCACCUCGAUGUCGGCUCAUCGCAUCCUGGGGCUGUAGUAGGUCCCAAGGGUUGGGCUGUUCGCCCAUUAAAGCGGUACGCGAGCUGGGUUCAGAACGUCGUGAGACAGUUCGGUCCCUAUCUGUCGUGGGCGCAGGAUAUUUGAUGGGAGCUGUCCCUAGUACGAGAGGACCGGGACGGACGUACCUCUGGCGCACCAGUUGUUCCGCCAGGAGCAUAGCUGGGCAACUACGUACGGAUCGGAUAAACGCUGAAAGCAUCUAAGCGUGAAGCCGACCCAAAGAUAAGAUAUCCCAUUGUUUCAAACAAGUAAGACCCCUUGAAGACUACAAGGUUGAUAGGCACGAUGUGUAAGUGGAGCGAUCCAUUCAGCAAGCGUGUACUAAUAGGUCGAGGGCUUGACCAC
rnacentral:rRNA from 1 species